GUCCACGCCCUAAACGAUGUCAACUAGGUGUUGGGUGGGUAAAACCAUUUAGUACCGGAGCUAACGCGUGAAGUUGACCGCCUGGGGAGUACGGCCGCAAGGUUAAAACUCAAAGGAAUUGACGGGGACCCGCACAAGCGGUGGAUGAUGUGGAUUAAUUCGAUGCAACGCGAAAAACCUUACCUACCCUUGACAUGUCCAGAAGCCUGAAGAGAUUUGGGUGUGCCCGAAAGGGAGCUGGAACACAGGUGCUGCAUGGCUGUCGU
rnacentral:rRNA from 1 species